rfam:TPA: Bos taurus chromosome 20, whole genome shotgun sequence.
UCCCUGGUGGCUCAGUGGUAAAGAAUCCGCCUGCCAAUGCGGGAGACACAGGUUUGAUCCCUGAUCUGGGAA